rnacentral:lncRNA from 1 species
UUGAUUUUCGCAUGGAUCCUGUUUUAGGGUUUCAGAAAUUGCUUUAAAAUUUUAAUUUCCGCUGUGCGUUUCUGUGCCGAAGCCCAACAAAAAGUAAUACACUUUUGUAGCUGAACAACAUCACAAAUGUAAGAUCUAGGCCAAUCAAAAGCUUGUUCUUAAGGAAUUCUGGGUUUUCCAGAAUUCUUCCCAGUUAGUUGGUCAACCCAGUUUUGACCAUGAAUAACUUUGACCCUGUUGAUGAUCUAGGUGUUCUAGUGUCAUGGUUUGGUAGUCCAUAUGUCAGAGUAUAUCAAUGAUACACUCUCAUGGCCUAAAACCUUAACAACUGCAAGAUCUAAGGCAUUACAAAACUUGUCAGACAGAUUUGGGUUUUUGGGUUUUCCAAAUUUCCAGAUUUUAUGCUUGGUCAACCAUGUUUAACCAUUAAUAACUUGAGAUCUAGACAUGGUAUGGACUUGAUUUCACUUCCAGUUUACUCUCCUCAUGGCAUAGAAUAUCAAUGAUACACUUAGCCAUCCUAAUAUUAAACAGAUUAAGAUCUAGAGGCUCUGACAUUUGACUGUUAGACCUCAACUUAGGGUUCUUGGCUGUUUUCAAAAAUUCUUAUUUUCUUGCACUUAAGUGUUAUGGAUCCAUGAUAUAUUAUCAUAGAUCACUAAAUAACAUCUUAUAACACAUAUCUAAACAACAAAACACAUAGAUUACAGAAAUCUUAAGGAUCUAAGUAGAAUUAGAGUUUAUACCUUUCAUGCUCAAAUCUUGAUUUUGUCCAUUGAUUCUGAUCUUCGCUAGCUAAGGGUUAUUCUUGGCUUUAUUUUGGACUAAGUUUCUCUCCAAAUUUCGAAAGUUUAGAGAGAGAAGGGUCUUGGCUUGUGAGAACCAAAGUAAGAUAUUUUCUUACUUUAAGUUUCUAAUUCUUUGAUUCAAUGAACUUGAUGUUGCUAGGUCGCACAUUUGGCUGAUUGGUGGUGAAUUAGAGCACAUUGAAAUUUCAAUUUGAUGACUCACUAAGAUUUGGCAAUAUCAUUUGCUUAAAAUUUAAGUAAAAAUGUAUUUUAGUAAUUUCACACCUACUAAGGGUAUUUUGGUCAUUUCCCCUAUAAUUUGAAGGGUAAUUUGGUCUUUUCCUAUAUAUCCCAUAACUUUUAACCCUUAACUUUUAAUACUUAGGAUUAGGGUUCCCGUAUUAGGGUUUAAAAAUUCCUGAUUAGGGUUUAGGAUUCUCGGAGCUGAAAUUAGGGUUUCUAAGCAAUCGUUAGGGUUUCUUACCUAAAUAUAGAAGUUUUUAAUAUAACAUUAGGGUUUGCCAAUGUUACAGCUUAUCUAAUUCAUACUUGAUAAAUAGGUUUUAUACCUACUUAUUGGAUGUCAACUCACGAGAAUUAUGCUAAUCUCAAGUAGUUUUUACUAUGUUUUAGUGCAUUUUAUGUUUAUUUAGCAUUACUUGUAGUGGAACUCCUAUGGCAAGGAAAGACAUUGAAAAAGGCAAGAAUGGCAUGGAUAAGCAUAGUGGCAUAAGCUAAGAAGGACUAGGCAAGAUGGACAUGGGUAGAUGAGGAACUGAAGUAGUGGAUGAGUGGUAUGUAGAAAGGAACAGAUGAAGAACAAAAAAUAAAACAAGAAGCAACAACAGAAGACAGACAAUUUUGCACCUAUGCGUGGUCGCGCCUCAACAAAGAAGGAAACUCGCGCGCCCGUGCCAAGGCUUCGGCAGACACACCUAUCGCGUGCCCGCACCCGUUUUACAUUAAGAUCUCGCGUGGCCACGCGAGUCCUCUAUAGUCUAUUUGUUGACUUUUUGUAAUUUGAAUUUUGAGCGCUUUAGGCUCAAAUGAACAAUAUUGGUUGGUACCAGACGUGUUUUUAUUGGGGUCUUUUAUCAGUUUUCAUAGGACAUAAUUAGGGUUUUGAAGUUUAACUAGUCUAGAACGAUUUUGAUCAAUUUUUUCUACAUUCUAUAUCCUCUCUUCACUUUGGUUAUUCAAUAUUGUUAGUUUCAUUUUCUGGAGAUUAUUGGUGCUUUGGAACAAACAUUGGAAUAGAUUCUGCAACUGGGUUUAAUCAUUUCUCUUUCAUCUCUUAUUUGCAUUGUUUAAUUCCAUGUGUUGCUUCAAUCCCAUAAUGGCUUUUGGUUCAGAAUUGAACUAAACUCCAUUAUGGGAUUCUAAUGGAUUUAUAUAUGUAGUCUAAACUCACAUGCCUGAUUGUUUAGUUGUAUGUUUAUCAUUGGAAUACCUAUUAUGAUUGAGCGUAAUGAA